rnacentral:rRNA from 1 species
AUUGAACGCUGGCGGCAUGCCUUACACAUGCAAGUCGAACGACAGCACGGGUGCUUGCGCCUGGUGGCGAUUGGCGAACGGUUGAGUAAUACAUCGGAACAUGUCCUUAAGUGGGGGAUAGCCCGGCGAAAGCCGGAUUAAUACCGCAUACGAGCUACGGCUGAAAGCGGUUGACCGUCUGGCCUCGCGCUAUCGUUUUAGCCGCUGGCUGGUUAGCUAGUUGGUGGGGUAAAGGCCUACCAAGGCGACGAUCAGUAGCUGGUCCGAGAGGACGACCAGCCACACUGGGACGGAGAAACGGCACAGACUCAUACGGGAGGCAGCAGUGGGGAAUUUUGGACAAUGGGCGAAAGCAUGAUACAGCAAUGUCGCGUGUGGGAAGAAGGUCUUCGGGUUGUAAAGCACUUUUGUAAGGAAAGAAAUCAUUGGCUCUAAUCCAGGAGGGGGAUGAAGGUACCGGAAGAAUAAGCACCGGCUAACUACGUG